GGGCCGUGGGGUAGCUUGGUCUAUCCUCCCGGCUUGGGGUGCCGGAGACCCGGGUUCAAAUCCCGGCGGCCCCACCAA
rnacentral:tRNA from 1 species